AAUAUCCAGGGAUUGUGACAUCAUGAACAUGUUUGCAACCUUUUUGAUAUUAGUUUUAUUGGCAUGCACUUGGCAAGGUAUUGAUGGCCUUACAGAGCCUGUGCAAGAAUGUGUUAAAGUAUGCAAGAUAGAAUAUUUACCAGGGCGUGAGCUUGCCAUGUGCAUUAGCGGUUGCUCUGAUGGCGGGUGUCAGCGUUUAUGUGUAGAAAGCGAAGAUCCUGAACAGGAUAUUAAAAAAUGCUUUGACAGUUGUUAAAAACUUUCGGAAUUGCUUAUUUCAUGAAUCCUAAAGAUAAAGAGAGAGAGAGAAGCC